AUAACGGUCCUAAGGUAGCGAAAUUCCUUGUCGGGUAAGUUCCGACCUGCACGAAUGGCGUAAUGAUGGCCAGGCUGUCUCCACCCGGGACUCAGUGAAAUUGAACUCGCUGUGAAGAUGCAGUGUACCCGCGGCAAGACGGAAAGACCCCGUGAACCUUUACUAUAGCUUGACACUGAACACUGGUCCUUGAUGUGCAGGAUAGGUGGGAGGCUUUGAAGUGUGGACGCCAGUCUGCAUGGAGCCAUCCUUGAAAUACCACCCUUUAAUGGCUGGUGUUCUAACGUGGGCCCGUGAACCGGGUUGCGGACAGUGUCUGGUGGGUAGUUUGACUGGGGCGGUCUCCUCCUAAAGAGUAACGGAGGAGCACGAAGGUUGGCUAAUCCUGGUCGGACAUCAGGAGGUUAGUGCAAUGGCAUAAGCCAGCUUGACUGCGAGCGUGACGGCGCGAGCAGGUGCGAAAGCAGGUCAUAGUGAUCCGGUGGUUCUGAAUGGAAGGGCCAUCGCUCAACGGAUAAAAGGUACUCCGGGGAUAACAGGCUGAUACCGCCCAAGAGUUCAUAUCGACGGCGGUGUUUGGCACCUCGAUGUCGGCUCAUCACAUCCUGGGGCUGAAGUAGGUCCCAAGGGUAUGGCUGUUCGCCAUUUAAAGUGGUACGCGAGCUGGGUUUAGAACGUCGUGAGACAGUUCGGUCCCUAUCUGCCGUGGGCGCUGGAAGAUUGAGGGGGGCUGCUCCUAGUACGAGAGGACCGGAGUGGACGCAUCACUGGUGUU
rnacentral:rRNA from 1 species